AAGAAUGAAAAAUCAGUAAUAGCGCAGUAAAGAAAAUUAUAUGGCGAUGUAAAUUCAAUUAAUACCAGGGAGCAUGAAGCACUCUUGUCUGGCGCGCAUUCUUCACUCCUGAUAGCAAGAGCGAACUUUGAAACGUUGACCGUUUGGGCGGUGGUUGGGUGCUCACAGGAGCAGCCUCAGACAAUGGGAGGAAAUGAUGACGUCAAACAGCGCGGUGUCUGGUAGACCAGUGCUUCAUUCUCGCAGGGGAAGCUAGGGCAACGGUUGUGGUGUAGGUGCGCACCCGUCUGGAUUUCGCUUUAAUGCAAGAUUUCCAUAAACAUUGACGUCAUAAUUGGUUACUAUAUUUAAUGAAUAACAGAGGGGGAUUUGCGAAGCUCUCCUCUCUGGACGACCUUUGGAACGGAUGAUGUCACGACCAAUGACAGUGCAGUGCUCCUGAUGCCCUGGCGGAGAAAUCAACGGACGCUUCAUUGCUUCGGGUGGAUCUCUGAGUGGCGGUCAUGCUGUUGGUGCUCUCCUCGCCACGGAUUUCGUGACGAGCGACUGUUUUUGACUGAGUGAUGUGUGUGGAAAUACUUCGGUGCCGCACCUGGAACGCAACUGUAGAGCCGGCUGUCUCCUCCCUGGCUCACGGUCUCCAGCCCUGGAAUCACUGGCGCACGUUCUGCAACGGUGUCACCGCACCCACGGCCUGCGGGUGAAUAGGCACGACAACAUCAUGAGCUAUGUCUGCAGCCGUUUGCGCCAGUGUGGCUGGGAUGCCGUCAGGGAACCCGUCAUCAGGACAGCGGAGGGCAACCGGAAACCUGACAUCGUGGCCAACAGGGGAGAGCAGUCUGUCAUCCUCGACGUCCAGAAGUUCACCUGCUGAGAAGACGCGGAGAGGGAAGCUGCCUGAGGAUUCCUGGACAACCAUGGAGAAGAGUUCCUGUUGGCGCCGGCGUGUACGCUGCGGGCGGGCAUACAAAGAGGAGUGGUCGGGAGGCUGCCAGGAGGAAGUCAUCGUUUUUUUCUGUUAGAACUUUACGAGGUCCCUCUAAUACGUGGCACGGGGUGGCCUCUAUUAAACAACCAAUCGCUUGUCUUGGCUACGAUCUUGACUACGGUCCUAAGCCUCCUUUGAAAGCGCCCCAACCGCCCUU